ensembl:snRNA U6 U6 spliceosomal RNA
GUGUUCCCUUCAGAAACACGUGUACUAAAACUGGAAUGAUACAGGGAUUAAGCAUGGCCUCUGCACAAGGAUAACAUGCAAAUUCAUUAACUGUUCCGUAUUUUU